AUGAACGCUGGCGGCGUGCCUAAUACAUGCCAGUCGAGCGAACAGACGAGGAGCUUGCUCCUCUGACGUUAGCGGCGGACGGGUGAGUAACACGUGGAUAACCUACCUAUAAGACUGGGAUAACUUCGGGAAACCGGAGCUAAUACCGGAUAAUAUAUUGAACCGCAUGGUUCAAUAGUGAAAGACGGUUUUGCUGUCACUUAUAGAUGGAUCCGCGCCGCAUUAGCUAGUUGGUAAGGUAACGGCUUACCAAGGCAACGAUGCGUAGCCGACCUGAGAGGGUGAUCGGCCACACUGAAACUGAGACACGGUCCAGACUCCUACGGGAGGCAGCAGUAGGGAAUCUUCCGCAAUGGGCGAAAGCCUGACGGAGCAACGCCGCGUGAGUGAUGAAGGUCUUCGGAUCGUAAAACUCUGUUAUUAGGGAAGAACAAAUGUGUAAGUAACUAUGCACGUCUUGACGGUACCUAAUCAGAAAGCCACGGCUAACUACGUG
rnacentral:rRNA from 1 species